rnacentral:rRNA from 1 species
CGUUCAACCGCAAAAGAAGCAGAGGGGGCUUAGUGGUGGGGUGACUGCGUACCUUUUGUAUAAUGGGUCAGCGACUUAUAUUCUGUAGCAAGGUUAACCGAAUAGGGGAGCCGGAGGGAAACCGAGUCUUAACCGGGCGUUAAGUUGCAGGGUAUAGACCCGAAACCCGGUGAUCUAGCCAUGGGCAGGUUGAAGGUUGGGUAACACUAACUGGAGGACCGAACCGACUAAUGUUGAAAAAUUAGCGGAUGACCUGUGGCUGGGGGUGAAAGGCCAAUCAAACCGGGAGAUAGCUGGUUCUCCCCGAAAGCUAUUUAGGUAGCGCCUCGUGAAUUCAUCUCCGGGGGUAGAGCACUGUUUCGGCUAGGGGGCCAUCCCGGCUUACCAACCCGAUGCAAACUGCGAAUACCGGAGAAUGUUAUCACGGGAGACACACGGCGGGUGCUAACGUCCGUCGUGAAGAGGGAAACAACCCAGACCGCCAGCUAAGGUCCCAAAGUCAUGGUUAAGUGGGAAACGAUGUGGGAAGGCCCAGACAGCCAGGAUGUUGGCUUAGAAGCAGCCAUCAUUUAAAGAAAGCGUAAUAGCUCACUGGUCGAGUCGGCCUGCGCGGAAGAUGUAACGGGGCUAAACCAU